GACGAGGGGUCCAAGCGUUGUUCGGAAUUAUUGGGCGUAAAGCGGGUGUAGGUGGAUCUAUAAGUCAGAAGUGAAAGCCCCGAGCUCAACCUGGGAACUGCGUUUGUGACUGUAUGACUAGAGUACGGUAGAGAGGGGUGGAAUUCCUGGUGUAGCAGUGAAAUGCGUAGAUAUCAGGAGGAACAUCGAUGGCGAAGGCAGCCCCUUGGACCUGUACUGACGCUCAUGCACGAAAGCGUGGGGAGCAAACAGG
rnacentral:rRNA from 1 species